GACAGAGGCCUCGAGCGUUAGGCGGAAUCACUGGGCUUAAAGCGUGCGUAGGCGGGCCCGUAAGUGUCUUGUGAAAUCCCACGGCUCAACCGUGGAACUGCUGGGCAUACUGCGGGUCUUGGGCCAACUAGGGGCAGCCGGAACAAGCGGUGGAGCGGUGAAAUGCGUAGAUAUCGCUUGGAACGCCGAAGGUGAAAACAGGCUGCUGGGGUUGCGCCGACGCUGAGACACGAAAGCCAGGGGAGCAAACAGG
rnacentral:rRNA from 1 species